CGAACGGUGGUACAGUGGGUAGUGCCGUCGCCUACCGAGCCGUCAGCAGUGGUUCGAUUCCACCCGCAUGA